GACGAACGCUGGCGGCGUGCUUAACACAUGCAAGUCGAACGGAAAGGCCCUGCUUUUGUGGGGUGCUCGAGUGGCGAAUGGGUGAGUAACACGUGAGUAACCUGCCCUUGACUUUGGGAUAACUUCAGGAAACUGGGGCUAAUACCGGAUAGGAGCUCCUGCUGCAUGGUGGGGGUUGGAAAGUUUCGGCGGUUGGGGAUGGACUCGCGGCUUAUCAGCUUGUUGGUGGGGUAGUGGCUUACCAAGGCUUUGACGGGUAGCCGGCCUGAGAGGGUGACCGGCCACAUUGGGACUGAGAUACGGCCCAGACUCCUACGGGAGGCAGCAGUGGGGAAUAUUGCACAAUGGGCGGAAGCCUGAUGCAGCAACGCCGCGUGCGGGAUGACGGCCUUCGGGUUGUAAACCGCUUUCGCCUGUGACGAAGCGUGAGUGACGGUAAUGGGUAAAGAAGCACCGGCUAACUACGUGCCAGCAGCCGCGGUGAUACGUAGGGUGCGAGCGUUGUCCGGAUUUAUUGAGCGUAAAGGGCUCGUAGGUGGUUGAUCGCGUCGGAAGUGUAAUCUUGGGGCUUAACCCUGAGCGUGCUUUCGAUACGGGUUGACUUGAGGAAGGUAGGGGAGAAUGGAAUUCCUGGUGGAGCGGUGGAAUGCGCAGAUAUCAGGAGGAACACCAGUGGCGAAGGCGGUUCUCUGGGCCUUUCCUGACGCUGAGGAGCGAAAGCGUGGGGAGCGAACAGGCUUAGAUACCCUGGUAGUCCACGCUGUAAACGGUGGGUACUAGGUGUGGGGUCCAUUCCACGGGUUCCGUGCCGUAGCUAACGCUUUAAGUACCCCGCCUGGGGAGUACGGCCGCAAGGCUAAAACUCAAAGGAAUUGACGGGGCCCCGCACAAGCGGCGGAGCAUGCGGAUUAAUUCGAUGCAACGCGUAGAACCUUACCUGGGUUUGACAUGGAUCGGGAGUGCUCAGAGAUGGGUGUGCCUCUUUUGGGGUCGGUUCACAGGUGGUGCAUGGCUGUCGUCAGCUCGUGUCGUGAGAUGUUGGGUUAAGUCCCGCAACGAGCGCAACCCUUGUUCACUGUUGCCAGCACGUUAUGGUGGGGACUCAGUGGAGACCGCCGGGGUCAACUCGGAGGAAGGUGGGGAUGACGUCAAGUCAUCAUGCCCCUUAUGUCCAGGGCUUCACGCAUGCUACAAUGGCUGGUACAGAGAGUGGCGAGCCUGUGAGGGUGAGCGAAUCUCGGAAAGCCGGUCUCAGUUCGGAUUGGGGUCUGCAACUCGACCUCAUGAAGUCGGAGUCGCUAGUAAUCGCAGAUCAGCAACGCUGCGGUGAAUACGUUCCCGGG
rnacentral:rRNA from 1 species